GACGAACGCUGGCGGCGUGCCUAAUACAUGCAAGUCGAACGCAGUGGGGACGGGUGAGUAACACGUGGGUAACCUCCCAUCAGAGGGGAUAACACUUGGAAACAGGUGCUAAACCGAUACUGAUGGAUGGACCCGCGGUGCAUUAGCUACUUGGUGAGGUAACGGCUCACCAAGGCCACGAUGCAUACCCGGACCGAGAGGGUGAUCGGCCACACUGGGACGGAGACACGGCCCAGACUCCUACGGGAGGCAGCAGUAGGGAAUCUUCGGCAAUGGGCGAAAGUCUGACCGAGCAACGCCGCGUGAGUGAAGAAGGCCUUCGGAUUGUAAAACACUGUUGGUAGAGAAGCGGUAUCUACCCAGAAAGCCCCGGCUAACUACGUGCCAGCAGCCGCGGUAAUAC
rnacentral:rRNA from 1 species